UGAAAGAGAGAGUGCCUUUAGUUGAUGAAUAAUACCAUGAUCACUUGUCCAAAGACGCAAUGAGAACAAUGGCAUUCCACACAUCACCAAACACCUAUAUUUUCCUGUCUGGCUACAUGAGUCGGAAAAGCUAAAAGGGUAUGAAAAUAUCCGCAGAAGAGAAUGGUGUUUAACUAAUUCUACUGGCUAGCACUUGAAAAAAGGAACACGAUGAAUCUUUUAAGGAUAGAAUUUGUUGGUAACUUGUUUAAUUACGAUAUCUUCAGGAAUGGUUGUGGAAUCAUCUUCAAAUGAUUGUAAGAGCGAGCUGAACAAUAGUAAACUGAUAACCCAGUAUGGGGCCACAGAUUUUCAAAUCUGCCAAAUGAAAAUGCCAUUCCAAAAUGUUAUAGAUUCCUACAUUCAAAAUGCCACACGGAAGCGAAGCCAGUGGAACAAUUCUAUGGUAAUUUCAGAACGCACCUGCAAAGCUGAGAACCCAUUCAGGAAAGGAGCUACAUUAGAAAAGCCAGCGCUGCAUGUUCAAGUUUAGUAUUUCACAUCAUGUUUGCUAUGAAUUGUUACAUAAAUUAUAUAAAAUUA